UACGGAGGGUGCAAGCGUUAAUCGGAAUCACUGGGCGUAAAGCGCGCGUAGGCGGCUUUUUAAGUCGGACGUGAAAUCCCUCGGCUCAACCGGGGAACUGCGUUCGAAACUGGGAAGCUUGAGUCCUGGAGAGGGUGGCGGAAUUCCGGGUGUAGGAGUGAAAUCCGUAGAUAUCCGGAGGAACACCGGUGGCGAAGGCGGCCACCUGGACAGGUACUGACGCUGAGGCGCGAAAGCGUGGGGAGCAAACAGGAUUAGAAACCCGAGUAGU
rnacentral:rRNA from 1 species